rnacentral:rRNA from 1 species
UGCCAGCCGCCGCGGUAAUACGGAGGGUGCGAGCGUUAAUCGGAAUUACUGGGCGUAAAGCGCGCGUAGGCGGUUGUGUAAGUCGGAUGUGAAAGCCCUGGGCUCAACCUGGGAAUGGCAUUCGAAACUGCAUGGCUAGAGUAUGGUAGAGGGAAGUGGAAUUUCCGGUGUAGCGGUGAAAUGCGUAGAUAUCGGAAGGAACACCAGUGGCGAAGGCGACUUCCUGGGCCAAUACUGACGCUGAGGCUCGAAGGUGUGGGUAGCAAACAGGAUUAGAUA